rnacentral:rRNA from 1 species
GACUCUCGACAACGGAUAUCUCGGCUCUCGCAUCGAUGAAGAACGUAGUGAAAUGCGAUACUUGGUGUGAAUUGCAGAAUCCCGUGAACCAUCGAGUCUUUGAACGCAAGUUGCGCCCGAAGCCAUCCGGCCGAGGGCACGUCUGCCUGGGCAUC